UACGUAGGUGGCAAGCGUUGUCCGGAAUUAUUGGGCGUAAAGCGCGCGCAGGCGGUCGAUCAAGUCGAGUGUGAAAGCCCCCGGCUCAACUGGGGAGGGUCAUUCGAUACUGAUCGACUCGAAGGCAGGAGAGGGUAGUGGAAUUCCCGGUGUAGUGGUGAAAUGCGUAGAUAUCGGGAGGAACACCAGUGGCGAAGGCGACUACCUGGCCUGUUCUUGACGCUGAGGAGCGAAAGCGUGGGGAGCAAACAGG
rnacentral:rRNA from 1 species